rnacentral:rRNA from 1 species
GGGCCCGCACAAGCGGUGGAGCAUGUGGUUUAAUUCGAUGAUACGCGAGGAACCUUACCAGGGCUUAAAUGUAGUCUGACAGGGGUGGAAACACCUUUUUCUUCGGACAGAUUACAAGGUGCUGCAUGGUUGUCGUCAGCUCGUGCCGUGAGGUGUCAGGUUAAGUCCUAUAACGAGCGCAACCCCUGUGGUUAGUUGCCAGCGAGUAAUGUCGGGAACUCUAGCCAGACUGCCGGUGCAAACCGUGAGGAAGGUGGGGAUGACGUCAAAUCAUCACGGCCCUUACGUCCUGGGCCACACACGUGCUACAAUGGUAGGUACAGAGAGCAGCCACGUCGCAAGGCGGAGCGAAUCUAUAAAACCUAUCACAGUUCGGAUCGGGGUCUGCAACUCGACCCCGUGAAGCUGGAAUCGCUAGUAAUCG